rnacentral:misc_RNA from 1 species
CCAAACUUAGCUGCUCCAGUUCAGGCUGGUUGCACGCUUCAACCCUUUGUGAACCAAAACCUUUACGCUUCGGCAGCUGGUUCCAGCUGUAAGCCUGCCGAUGGCACCCAUCUAAACCUAUUGUUAAAUAUUUGUCUGAACUAAAUAUUAUCGAAUGAACAAUUAAAU